rnacentral:misc_RNA from 1 species
UUUCCGUAGGUGAACCUGCGGAAGGAUCAUUAAAGAAUCGCCCCGUUUUUUAUAAAUGGGUUCUAUUCCCAAACCGUGUAUACAUACCUUUGUUGCUUUGGCAGGCCGCCUCCGGGCGUCGGCUCCGGCUGAUAGUGCCUGCCAGGGGACCCAAACUCUGUGUUUAGUGAUGUCUGAGUACUAUAUAAUAGUUAAAACUUUCAACAACGGAUCUCUUGGUUCUG